AAAAAAAAACACGUGAGUAACCUGCCCUUGACUUUGGGAUAACUUCAGGAAACUGUGGCUAAUACCGGAUAGGAGCUCCUGCUGCAUGGUGGGUGUUGGAAAGUUUCGGCGGUUGGGGAUGGACUCGCGGCUUAUCAGCUUGUUGGUGGGGUAGUGGCUUACCAAGGAUUUGACGGGUAGCCGGACUGAGAGGGUGACCGGCCAAAUUGGGACUGAGAUAAGGCGAAGAAUCCGAAGGGAGGAAGAAGUGGGGAAUAUUGCACAAUGGGCGGAAGCCUGAUGCAGCAAUGUUUUUUUUUU
rnacentral:rRNA from 1 species